GGCCGCCCUGCGGGAGGUGGUCCGGCGCCGGCGGGCGACCGGCGGUCCCGCCGAGCAGGCGUUCGCGUCCCUCGUCGGCCUC
rnacentral:tRNA from 1 species